rnacentral:tRNA from 1 species
GGACCUUUAGCUCAGUUGGUUAGAGCAUCCGGCUCAUAACCGGGCGGUCGCAUGUUCGAGUCAUGCAAGGUCCACCA